rnacentral:rRNA from 1 species
GAUGAACGCUGGCGGCGUGCCUAACACAUGCAAGUCGAGCGAACAGACGAGGAGCUUUCGCCCCUGACGUUAGCGGCGGACGGGAGAGUAACACGUGGAUAACCUACCUAUAAGACUGGGAUAAUAACGGGAAACAGGAGCUAAUACCGGAUAAUAUAUUGAACCGGAUGGUGCAAUAGUUAAAGACGCUUUUGCUGACAGUAAUAGACGAAUCCGGGCCGCAUUAGCUAGUUGGUAAGGUAACGGCUUACCAAGGCAACGAUGCGUAGCCGACCUGAGAGGGUGAUCAGCCACACUGGAACUGAGACACGGUCCAGACUCCUACGGGAGGCAGCAGUCGGGAAUCUUCCGCAAUGGGCGAAAGCUUGACGGAGCAACACCGCGUGAGUGAUGAAGGUCUUCGGAUCGUAAAACUCUGUUAUUAGGGAAGAACAAAUGUGUAUUUACCUAUGCACGUCUUGACGGUACCUAAUCAGUAAGCCCCGGCUAACUACGUG